rnacentral:misc_RNA from 1 species
GAUGAAGAACGUAGCGAAAUGCGAUACGUAAUGUGAAUUGCAGAAUUCAGUGAAUCAUCGAAUCUUUGAACGCAUAUUGCGCUCUCUGGUAUUCCGGAGAGCAUGCUUGUUUGAGUAUCAGUAAACACCUCAACUCCCCUUUCUUUUUUUGAAAUGGGAGCUGGACUUGAGUGAUCCCAACGCUUUUCUCACCGAAAAGUGGCGGGUUACUUGAAAUGCAGGUGCAGCUGGACUUUUCUCUGAGCUAAAAGCAUAUCUAUUUAGUCUGCCUAAAAAACAGAUUAUUACCUUUGCUGCAGCUAACAUAAAGGAGAUUAGUUCUUGUGCUGACUGAUGCAGGAUUCACAGAGACAGCUUCGGCUGGCCUUUGUAAACUCGAUCUCAAAUCAAGUAAGACCACCCGCUGAACUUAAGCAUAUCAAUAAGCGGAGGA